rnacentral:rRNA from 1 species
AACGCUGGCGGCGUGCCUAACACAUGCAAGUCGCACGAGAAAGGGUCUUCGGAUCUGAGUAAAGUGGCGCACGGGUGAGUAACACGUGACUAAUCUACCCUCGAGUGGGGAAUAACCUAGGGAAACCUGGGCUAAUACCGCAUAACACUUACGAGUCAAAGCAGCAAUGCGCUUGGGGAGGAGGUCGCGGCAGAUUAGCUAGUUGGCGGGGUAAUGGCCCACCAAGGCAAUGAUCUGUAUCCGGCCUGAGAGGGCGCACGGACACACUGGAACUGAAACACGGUCCAGACUCCUACGGGAGGCAGCAGUGGGGAAUUUUGCGCAAUGGGGGAAACCCUGACGCAGCAACGCCGCGUGGAGGAUGAAGUCUCUUGGGACGUAAACUCCUUUCGACAGGGAAGAUAAUGACGGUACCUGUAGAAGAA